CCUCAGGGUCCACGCAACAAUCACUAUGAAUGAAAAUGUUUUUAUAUCUUGUUAUUAUUUACCAAUAUUCAUCUUGUUUAUAAGGGUAAAUUAUAAAUAUUUCAACUAAUUAACUUAGUAUACUUCAAUCAUAUACUUAUAAAUAUCAAUAUUUACAUAUCGCUGACCCUCACGUCAUGGGGUUAUCAUUCAUUCUGAGCAAUGGCGAAGAUGAGCUGCACAACUUCAAUCAUUAUCCUUGUAAAUGACAUAAAUAAGUGAAAGAGGAUAAUAUUCAACCCCAGCUUCCUACAGUUGACCAACAAACACCACAAACUGGAAACCCCCAGAUUAUGACGAAUGGCACAUCUGACCAAACAACUGAGUGUUUCAGAUACUAUUGUAAGAGAUUCAGAUGAAAAUGAAGUGCAACUUUGUUAUCCUGAACCAACAGCUGCAAAACCUAUAGAAAAGACAUCCAAAAUACAACUGCAGCAAAUUGAUUACCUUCUCGAUUAACUUGGUCAUCAGGUUAAAAAUCCACAUGUCAUAAAAUAUAGAUUAUCUACAAUAAUUAAGUCUUUAGAAAGUUUAAUUUCAGGUAAUAAAGCUUGCAUGACCAUUCAAGAUGAAAAUCCCAUGAAGCUAAAUCCCACCGAAAGAAUUGCAGGAAACGCAAAUAAUAUACUGCAACCAAGGUUUCACAAAACUGAAAUAAAAAGGGGAUGGCCGAGGAAAACACCACUGAAGAGACCAACAGAAGAGGAUAUAUGAAAAAACUUCUAAAGUUUAUGAAUAUUUUUUUUUGAAUAUACUAAUCAAUAAUAGGGAUAAUUUUGCUUUGGUUGAAUGGUCACAGAAGAUUCACUGAUAAAUACUUGAAAUAUAUGUUAACUAUGGAGAAAUGUAUAAGAGAAUAUAUACCCUACAUGUAUUGUAAAACUUGAUCAAAAUGUGAAUUGUAUUAAAUGCAAUACUAGAAAUUGAUUAACAAAUGCUAAGUUCCAUUGAAUAUCAUUAAUAUGACAGGAAUGAAGGGGAGACUCCUACACAGACACAGGGGACAGCAGCAGGACCAUCUCAUGGCUCUGUUGCUCCCUACCCUCCACUCAGGUUGGUUCAUCCCCAAGGACAACCACUGCAACUGUCUCGGAGUGAUGAACAAAAUGUGUUUUCAUAAGUUACUUCGUUAAUUUGAUUUGUAACAUGUAAUUUUUUAAAGUAUUAUUUGUAAUCACUUACAAGCACAUUGAAACUACUCCUGUCAAGUGCAAUAAAUAUGUUGAAUGUAUUGAUGUUAUUGUGCUUAUGUAUGUUUAUUGAUUUUAUUACAAAGUAUUGGCCAAAGUGGACUAGUUCAACCAUCUUGGAUGAGAAUACCACCAUCUAUGUUAGGCAAAAGGAUAACUGUUGUCAAAGAUGGAAAGCCUCAACAGAUCAUAUUUUCCACUAAUGGUGACCAGGGAAAUCCAGAUCCUGAUGGAGAGUGAGGGUAGAGGCAGAUAUGUGGCUGUGGCAUUAAGUCAGUCCGGUAGUAGACUGGCAAUGGCAAAAAGGUAUUUCCUAAGGCCAGUGUCAUCAGCUACAUAUUCUCUACUUGAGCUUGCCGGAGAUUGGGACAGCAAAUGAACCUAAAUGCAACAUCCAGUUUUAAAUGGUGGGCUGUGGAGGGUAGAGGCAGGUAUGUGGCUUUGACAUUAAGUCAGUUCAGUAGCAGACUGGCAAUGGCAAAUAGGCAUGAAUGGCAUCAAAUGUCUAAGGCCAAUGUCUAAAGCUACAUAUUCUCAACCUAAAAUCUUGAAUGUAUUUUACAUGUAUAACUG